rnacentral:rRNA from 1 species
CACGUAGGGCGCGAGCGUUGUCCGGAAUUAUUGGGCGUAAAGAGCUCGUAGGCGGCCUGUUGCGUCCGCUGUGAAAGCCCGGGGCUUAACCCCGGGUCGGCAGUGGAUACGGGCAGGCUAGAGGUAGGUAGGGGAGAAUGGAAUUCCCGGUGUAGCGGUGAAAUGCGCAGAUAUCGGGAGGAACACCGGUGGCGAAGGCGGUUCUCUGGGCCUUACCUGACGCUGAGGAGCGAAAGCGUGGGUAGCAAACAGG